AGAACGAACGCUGGCGGCAGGCCUAACACAUGCAAGUCGAACGCCGUAGCAAUACGGAGUGGCAGACGGGUGAGUAACGCGUGGGAACAUACCCUUCGGUUCGGAAUAACUCAGGGAAACUUGAGCUAAUACCGGAUACGUCCGAGGUUUUAAUCGACCUUGGAGAAAGAUUUAUCGCCGGAGGAUUGGCCCGCGUCUGAUUAGCUUGUUGGUGAGGUAAUGGCUCACCAAGGCGACGAUCAGUAGCUGGUCUGAGAGGAUGAUCAGCCACAUUGGGACUGAGACACGGCCCAAACUCCUACGGGAGGCAGCAGUGGGGAAUAUUGGACAAUGGGCGAAAGCCUGAUCCAGCCAUGCCGCGUGAGUGAUGAAGGCCUUAGGGUUGUAAGCUCUUUUACCCGGGAGAUAAUGACGGUACCGGAGAAUAAGCCCGGCUAACUUCGUGCCAGCAGCCGC
rnacentral:rRNA from 1 species